AAACUGGGGUGGCCACUUUCUGAUCUGAGGCUCCUGAUUCCAAGGCGACCAAAAUGCCAGACGUGACUCAGGACGCUGGAGUGUGCCUGCCCUCGGGAUCCAGGAGGGCAAUGGGCAGGAAGGGGCUGCAAGGAGGGGUUAGGCCGGAGUGGAGUCCCUCUUCACCCCUCAGAUGAACAACCGUCCUGGUUUGUCUGGGACUGAAGGUAUCUCAGACACAGGAAUUCUACUGCUAAAACAGGGGAAAUCCUGAAUAUCACCGCCCCAUCCCAGACAGUACCCACAGUUGCACUCUGGGCUGCCAGCCUGUCAUGCUCUGUGUCAUAGCUUUGUAACCACCAUUGAUUGAGAACCAGCUCUCUGCCCUGUGCAUUCAGGAAAUCUUCCGCCCAGCAGGCCUAUUGAAGAGACAAAAAGAGGAGACCGUCCAGGACAGUCCAGUCUGGUGUGAACAGUCAAUAUUCUUCCCUACAAUAUCUCUGCCCUGAUGUGGACAUCCAUACAUACAGGCCAAUGACUCAGAGGAGGGCGCGAGAAGCUUUCAGGCUGUUUGGGGAGACCAGAAUUGCCCCCAUGGCCUGUCAGAGAGCAGCUGAGGCCUGAAGGGGGCAAGGACUGGGGGUG
rnacentral:lncRNA from 1 species